rnacentral:rRNA from 1 species
GGUAUUGAAAUAAGAUUUUAAAUGAGUGCUAAGAGAAUGAUUUAACAAUUAAAAGCUUUCUUUAAUUAAAAAAUUAAAUUUAAUUUUUUUAGUGCAAAAGCAAAAAUAAAAUUUAGGGACAAGAAGACCCUAUGAAUUUUUAUUGUUAAUAAUUAAAAUUUAAGUUAUUAAUAAUUUAAUUGGGGCGAUAAAAAAAGAAUAAGUAUCUUUUUAGUUAUAAAAUAAGUUCCGUUUUUAACGAUUAAAUGAAAUAAAUACUCUAGGGAUAACAGCGUAAUAAUUUUGGAUAGUUCAUAUAGAUAAAAUAGUUUGCGACCUCGAUGUUGGAUUAGGAUUCUUUUUUGGUGAAGAA